UGGGGAAUCUUGCGCAAUGGCCGAAAGGCUGACGCAGCGACGCCGCGUGGAGGAUGACGCCCUUCGGGGUGUAAACUCCUGUUGCCCGGGACGAAUGCCCCUUUUGAGGGGAGUGACGGUACCGGGUGAGGAAGCACCGGCUAACUCUGUGCCAGCAGCCGCGGUAAUACAGAGGGUGCGAGCGUUGUCCGGAAUCACUGGGCGUAAAGGGCGCGUAGGCGGCUCGGUAAGCGUGUGGUGAAAGCCCGGGGCUCAACCCCGGGUCGGCCAUGCGAACUGUCGAGCUGGAGCACGGUAGAGGCACAUGGAAUUCCGGGUGUAGCGGUGGAAUGCGUAGAGAUCCGGAAGAACACCGGUGGCGAAGGCGGUGUGCUGGGCCGUAGCUGACGCUGAGGCGCGACAGCGUGGGGAGCAAACAGG
rnacentral:rRNA from 1 species